UAACAUUCCAGUUUAAAAAAUAACAUUCUAAGGGGUUCCAAGUAUAUUUUGCAGUGUUUGCCAACAUUAAAAACUGACAAAAACGUGCUGAUCUCCACCAUCAGGCACAAUCUGUGUGUGUACACAUUGUUUGAAGUGCUCAAAACCCAUCAUCAUUUAGAGACUCACGCUGACAAUGGAAGAACCACAAGCACAAAUGUCUUCAAGAUGCAGAAGGGAGAAAAGGAGGACUCCCUUCUAUCAGAUCCCCUACUUCCUGAGCUCUGAUGACGGUGAUGAUAUGAUGAUGGCUGAUGAAGUGGAUGUACAGGAUGUACAGGCCAACUCCACAGAUGCACAGAGCAUCAUCUACUACACUCUCCUCUUUCUAAAAGUGGGACUGUGGAUCAUCUUUGUUUGGAUCUUGUCUCACCUCCACCUGGGCGUGCCAUGUUUUCUCCUGACACUGACUAUCUGGCUGUAUUCAGGGCCGAUGCGAGAAGCUCUGAACUGGGCUAAGAGGCGUCUGCGGGGCCCAGUUGCAUAAAGUGUCACACUGAGUUGAAGCAGGAGAGAUUUAAAAAAAAAAAAAAAAAAAAGAGAGUUCCUCUGCUUUUCAAUAAUUUAUCUAAUCUCAUUUUAACAGAGUAUGAUUUAUUGACUGUAUAUACAUUUCCAAGAUUUUACCCCUGUGUGGGUCUGUCAGUGUAAAGUAUUAGUUGUAUGUUGAGACAAAGAAGUGUAGAAGGGAUAGUAACUUUCUUGACAGUACAGAGACAUACAGUACACAUUCAUGCAAAGACAUCAGUAAAACAGAAGUGACAACAAUUUUGGUUUCCAUCCAUUUUAAUUGAAUUUGUAGACUUUCAAACAAACAUGUACAAAUUGCAAAACAGCUUUUGGUAACAUCUCAUUCUUUGUUAUCAUCAUUAUUAGGAAAUAAAUUAAGUGAAUAAAAAUGAACCAUGUGAAUAUAGAACAGAAAGAAUAAUACCACAAAGAGCAAAAAAACAAAAGAGGCAACUGUUUUCCACAGAGGGUCAACUGCAUCUCAUUUGUAGUAAACUGAACUUAACUGCCAAACAGGCUUUCGCUGGUCAGUCGAACUGAAGUACCUCCUCAUGGUAAAUGACACAACAUUCUGUACCUGUCUAGUUUGAAAUUGUCGUCUAAUUUGUACUAAUUUGUACUGUACUACUGCAUUUAUACACCAGGUGGCAUCACUAUCACAUAGCAAAACGGCCUGGUUCUGACACCCACUCCUGACCACUAGUUUUCUUACUGUGCUUGAACGGAUUGGGUGAUGUGAAAGGAGGAUAGCUGGCAUUUUACUAAAAAGCUUCCAAGAAAAAAAUUGUCUUCACUAUGCACUAAACAAUUCAAAUAUUGUGGAGCAUUUUGUGAAGCUUGCUUUUUAUUUACUUUGAUUAUUUGGUCUUUUUAACACUGCACGGGAUUACUUAGAUAUGUUAGACACUUGCAAAAUUGCAACCUGUGCUGUUAGAUAUUUCUAUAUAUAGAUAUCUUUAUCUGCAUCUUCCCACAAAGACUAGGAAAGGACAAUUUUAUAAGCACUUUUAGUACACCAUUUAUCCAGUAUGUCUGCAGAUAAAAUACUGAUCAUAAGUGACUCAUAGUUAAAUGUCUGUGCAAGAAAUUUCCAUGGGUACAACGUUUUAACAAAUUCUCAGCAUCGUUCACUACAAAUCAAGAGGAUUAUAUGGGGGGAAAUUAUCUGGAUGAGAACAAAUAAUAAAGAUACCCAGGAAAAUGUAAAUACCAGCUCUGUGUAAGAAGCGGCAUGUUUUUGUGUGGGUGUGGAGUUGAAGCACAGGGAGGCAUAACAGAGUGGAGGAAUCGAUGCCCAGAGGGCGUUGUGUUCGGGUAGAGUGUGUCCACUGCCAGCAGCAUCUGAUUUAGCCUCUAUAUUUCAUCCACGCCGGUCUCUUCUCAUCCUUUGCAACUCAUGGGGACAUGCGCUUGUUCAAUGGUUAAAUAUAUAAAAUGUGCACAACAACCGCAAGUUCACCGCAUACGCUAUAAUGUGUUCAAACUGUUAAAGUGGAAUAUGAGAAACGUUAUUUGUGUCUACGGAUUUUUGCAUUGCACAGAAACCUCAGUCUCA